GAUGAAGAACGCAGCGAAAUGCGAUACGUAAUGUGAAUUGCAGAAUCCAGUGAAUCAUCGAAUCUUUGAACGCAUAUUGCGCUCUCUGGUAUUCCGGAGAGCAUGCUUGUUUGAGUAUCAGUAAACACCUCAACUUCCAUAUCUUUUUUGAAAUGGGAGUUGGACUUGAGUGAUCCCAACGCUUUUCCUCACCGAAAAGCGGCGGGUUACUUGAAAUGCAGGUGCAGCUGGACUUUUCUCUGAGCUAUAAGCAUAUCUAUUUAGUCUGCCUAAAAAACAGAUUAUUACCUUUGCUGCAGCUAACAUAAAGGAGAUUAGUUCUUGUGCUGACUGAUGCAGGAUUCACAAAGACAGGCUUCGGCCGACUUUGUAAACUCGAUCUCAAAUCAAGUAAGACUACCCGCUGAACUUAAGCAUAUCAAUAAGCGGAGGA
rnacentral:misc_RNA from 1 species